rnacentral:rRNA from 1 species
GAUGAACGCUAGCUACAGGCUUAACACAUGCAAGUCGAGGGGAAACGAUAGGGAAAGCUUGCUUUUUCUAGGCGUCGACCGGCGCACGGGUGGGUAACGCGUAUCCAACCUGCCCAUCACUUUGGGAUAACCUUGCGAAAGUAAGACUAAUACCCAAUGACGUCUCUAGAAGACAUCUGAAGGAGAUUAAAGAUUUAUCGGUGAUGGAUGGGGAUGCGUCUGAUUAGCUGGUUGGCGGGGUAAGGGCCCACCAAGGCGACGAUCAGUAGGGGUUCUGAGUGGAAGGUCCCCCACAUUGGAGCUGAGACACGGUCCAAACUCCUACGGGAGGCAGCAGUGAGGAAUAUUGGUCAAUGGACGAGAGUCUGAACCAGCCAAGUAGCGUGCAGGAAGACGGCCCUAUGGGUUGUAAACUGCUUUUAUAAGGGAAUAAAGCGAGUCUCGUGAGACUUUUUGCAUGUACCUUAUGAAUAAGGACCGGCUAAUUCCGUGCCAGCCGCCGCGGUAA